UCAGACAUAUAAAAUAACUAAGAAAAACUCUAUACGACUAAAAUUACAAUAUAUUAACUUAACAUCUACUGAAAAAUUAACUUCCAUGGCCUCUCCUGUUUCUGAAAACAUCAACAACACGUCGCAGCUCGUGGACUCGGUGCUCAAAUUUCAAUGACUCUGUAAGUGUAGCCUGAAACUGGAGCAUGCGCAGUUGUGUGCGCCCACCCCUGCUCUGCACCUGUGCCAGCCAGACAGGUGUGAAGGUUUGUCAAAGCUGCUGCAGCGUGAAGUGAGGUGGAAGAAAGAGGAUACUCUUCUUGAUCACUGAGAUUUGCCUGGAUGUUGUGAUGCCAUGCAGUGGAAAUAUUUGGCAGAGUUCAGCCGAAUUUCUGCUAAAAAUCUGAGGCAAGAAUUGUACACAGCUCUUCAUAGCCACACAACACGCUUCAUUCAAAUCUUUAAGUCCAAAGGCGGGUCACAGGGAAAAACUGCCCGAAAUCUUGCAACACAUCAAC